UACAGAGGGGGCAAGCGUUGUUCGGAAUUACUGGGCGUAAAGGGCGCGUAGGCGGCCUUCUAAGUCGAACGUGAAUCCCCGGGCUCAACCCGGGAACUGCGUCCGAUACUGGGAGGCUUGAAUCCGGGAGAGGGAUGUGGAAUUCCAGGUGUAGCGGUGAAAUGCGUAGAUAUCUGGAGGAACACCGGUGGCGAAGGCGGCAUCCUGGACCGGUAUUGACGCCGAGGCGCGA
rnacentral:rRNA from 1 species